CAGUCGCCGCGGUAAUACGUAGGGCGCGAGCGUUGUCCGGAAUCAUUGGGCGUAAAGCGCGUGUGGCGGCUGAGUAAGUCUGCUGUGAAAGUCCAGGGCUCAACCCUGGAAUGUCGGCGGAUACUGCUCAGCUGGAGUACGGGAGGGGCGAGUGGAAUUCCUGGUGUAGCGGUGGAAUGCGCAGAUAUCAGGAGGAACUCCUAUGGCGAAGGCAGCUCGCUGGAACGUUACUGACGCUGAGACGCGAAAGCGUGGGGAGCAAACAGGAUUAGAUACCCCCGUAGUCCCUGUCUCUUAUACA
rnacentral:rRNA from 1 species